rnacentral:rRNA from 1 species
GAUGAACGCUGGCGGCGUGCCUAAUACAUGCAAGUCGAGCGAACAGACGAGGAGCUUGCUCCUCUGACGUUAGCGGCGGACGGGUGAGUAACACGUGGAUAACCUACCUAUAAGACUGGGAUAACUUCGGGAAACCGGAGCUAAUACCGGAUAAUAAAUUGAACCGCAUGGUUCAAUAGUGAAAGACGGUUUUGCUGUCACUUAUAGAUGGAUCCGCGCCGCAUUAGCUAGUUGGUAAGGUAACGGCUUACCAAGGCAACGAUGCGUAGCCGACCUGAGAGGGUGAUCGGCCACACUGGAACUGAGACACGGUCCAGACUCCUACGGGAGGCAGCAGUAGGGAAUCUUCCGCAAUGGGCGAAAGCCUGACGGAGCAACGCCGCGUGAGUGAUGAAGGUCUUCGGAUCGUAAAACUCUGUUAUUAGGGAAGAACAAAUGUGUAAGUAACUAUGCACGUCUUGACGGUACCUAAUCAGAAAGCCACGGCUAAAUACGUG